UACGAAGGGGGGCUAGCGUUGUUCGGAUUUACUGGGCGUAAAGCGCACGUAGGCGGAUUGUUAAAGUGAGAGGUGAAAUCCCGGAGCUCAACUCCGGAACUGCCUUUCAUACUGGCAAUCUAGAGUCCGGAAGAGGUGAGUGGAACUCCUAGUGUAGAGGUGGAAUUCGUAGAUAUUAGGAAGAACACCAGUGGCGGAAGGCGGCUCACUGGUCCGGUACUGACGCUGAGGUGCGAAAGCGUGGGGGAGCAAACAGG
rnacentral:rRNA from 1 species